rnacentral:antisense_RNA from 1 species
GGGCCGGCGGCGGCCAGGGAGGUCGGAGUGCGCGGGGCUCGGCACCCCCUCGGCCCGCGCUGCGCCAGCACCACCUGCGGAGCUGCGGUGCCCACGCCGUGCCGCGACCCCGCCGCCCCCUGCUCCCUCCACACGCGGGCAAACAAAACAAGUUGCCGGUCGCUGCCGCCGGAGGGGGCCGGGCGGGUCACUCACCCUCAUCCUGCUCAGCGGGCUUGGGUCGUCCGGCCGCGGGGUCAGGGAAGACCAGAGGACCACUAGCCCCAGGAAGCUUCCCACCACUAGCAAACUGCGUGGUGAAUUUGUAACCGAAAGGCCCAGGUGAGAUGUGCAAAUAUCACUGGAUUGGAGGAGCUCACUUGGAAAGCCAGUAUUCCUCCUGAGCUAAUGAAAAGAAAGGCUGUCGUCUUAUGCCAAAAGCAAUACCAACCUUGUUCACGGGCUGAGAUCUAGAGUGUGUAAUUCACGAAGUAUGAAUCUGCUGGGUAAUGUGAUAUGAAAAGCGAAUGCACCAUUUCUUGGUGAUGAUUCAGGUCAGCGUUGGGACCCAGGAAUCUCCUGUUAAUCAGUACCCUGGUGAUUUUGAUCCAGGUCAUCAAGACCAUGGCUUCCAUCGUAGGCAGUCACACUCUUUCUCUCUUGGAUCAUUUGCUGUGGGGAAGCAAACUGUCAUAUGAGAGGACACUCAAACAGCCUCUGGAGUCUCAUUUGCUAAGGAACUGAGGACUCCAGCCUGAGAACUCAGGCAAGUAACUGAGGCCUGCCAACAACCAUGGAGCAAGCCUGAAAGUGGAUCCUCCCUCAGCCUUCAGUUGAGACAACAGCUGGAAUGACAGUCAAGCCAGCGCCACCCAGCUUAGCCACCCCCAGAGAACUAACUCUCAGAAACCAUGUAAGAUAAUACAUGUUUGUUGUUUUAAGCUGCUAAGUUUUGGGGUAAUUUAUUAUACAAUAGAUAAUUAAAACACAUAGCAUAUAAAUAAAAUCAAUAAAACCAGUAUGGGUCAGUAAUGAGUAAAUUAGAUAAUUAGACAAAUUUUGACAUUUCUGUUUCUAUGUUAAUUAUUUUUCUUCAGAAAAAUUCUCUACGAGUAAAAUAUGUUAAGAGUGGUUACCAACGGACAUUUUAAAAUUAAUAAUCAGUUUGGGAGGCCAAGGCGGUUGGAUUGCUUUAACUCAGGAGUUUGAGGCCAACCUGGGCAACAUGACAAAACCCUGUCUCUACAAAAAAUACAAAAAUUAGCCAGGCAUGGUCGUGUGUGCCUGUAGUCCCAGCUACUUGGGAAGCUGAGGUGGGAGGAUCAAUUGAGCCUGGGAGGCCAGGCUGCAAUGAGUCAAAAUCAUACCAUCUCAAUCCAGCCUGAGCAACAGAGUGAGACCCUAUCUAAAAUAUAUACAUGUAUAUUAACAAUUAUCUCUUGAAACUAAAGUAUAAUCACAGUACUAGUGUACUAUUUUCCAUUUUAUUAAAUGCACUAAACAGUAUUGCAAUGUGUUUGUGUUUAUUAAAAAAUAUUUUGGAAAUCUUUGGGAGAAAAGCUACUUCAAAUUAGUCUGAAAACCAUCAUUUCUUUCUAGCAAUGUGUAAUAAUGUAAUGACUGCUUAGAAUUUCCUGAGAGGGACUGUAACAUAUAUUUUAAGCAUAAUAUUGUAAACAAACAAGUUCUUUUGCAGUACUUGAAGAUCUUUUUUUGUGACUAUCCCCCUUAUAUAUUAUGAAGAUACAUUUUUUGUGACUAUCCUCUUUAUAUGUAUUGUGAAGAUAAGGUUUUUUAUAGUGAAUAUCCUCCUAAUGCUACUAGUAUUGUUUGCAAUCUGUCAUUAUUCUUAGUGUAAAAUUAAACUUCAACAGAGUACCUGUGUGAA